GGGCGAUUAGCUCAGCGGGAGAGCACUGCCUUCACACGGCAGGGGUCGGUGGUUCGAUCCCACCAUCGCCCACCA
rnacentral:tRNA from 5 species